UACGAAGGGGGCUAGCGUUGUUCGGACUUACUGGGCGUAAAGCGCGCGCAGGCGGCUAUCCAAGUCAGUGGUGAAAGCCCGGAGCUCAACUCCGGCAUUGCCAUUGAAACUGUUUAGCUCGAGUACGAGAGAGGUGAGUGGAAUUCCCAGUGUAGAGGUGAAAGUCGUAGAUAUUGGGAAGAACACCGGUGGCGAAGGCGGCUCACUGGCUCGUAACUGACGCUCAAGCGCGACAGCGUGGGGAUCAAACAGG
rnacentral:rRNA from 1 species